AACUUCGGUGCCUCCUCCAGCCCUGAGCCAGAAGGGGCUGCUCUCCCCACCUUCCGGGGACUCGGCUUUCCCUCUUGUGCAAUGGGGACCUUGCACGAUGUUUUGGACCAGGAGGCCGGGACCGGAAGGCUGCAAGAACCUCCUUAAGGUGGAGGGGCAGGAGGCUCUGCUCUGGGAUUUUGGGGACCCCCGGGUGGUAGCGCGGUCUUAUGGUCUGCCUGGGACUGCCCUGCUCCAGGAUGACGGUUGGGGUGACUGGUUGUGCCCCACGUCCUGUUAGAUCUCAUACCCCAUGCCCACAUCACCUCCCUGCCCUCAUCUCCCUCCUCCGUUCGCCUCCUUGAUGCUCCUCCAACGCAGAUGUGUCCGUUUCACUCAUUCCCACCUCUGGGCCUUUGCACUGGUGUGCCCUUCCUCCACGUUAUCUGCCUGACUCACUGCUUGAUCUCCUUCAGGUCUUUGCUAAAAUGUCACCUUCUCAAUGAGAUUUCCCCGGCACACCCUGUCUUAUGUUCUCUCCACAUGUUUGUUUCCUCUGAUAGAGAACAACGACAAAAUAAACAUUUUAAAUCUUUAUUUAUUUAAGUAAUCUCCGCCCACAGGGCAGGGCUCGAAUUCACCACCUGGUGAUCAAGAGUCACACGCUCUACGAUGGAGCCAGCCGGGAGCCCCUAAAGGACAAAAACUUACCUGAAUGAAUUUGAAGAUCUAAUUGGCUUUAUUAAGAAUACGAGUUGCCAUAAAAAGGAAUAAACUGCUGAUUCACGCAAGGACAAGGGUGAACUUUGAAAACACGAUGCUCGGUGAAAGGUGCCAGUCCCAAAAGACCACAAGUGUGUGGCUCCAUUCACACGCAGUGUCCCUAAGGGGAAAAUCCAGAGACAGGAAAGGCAGCCGAGGGGUGAGGAAGACGAGCGUGCCCCGGAACCCUGUCAGACCCGGAUUCCAUCCAGCCCCUGCUGCUGCUUGGUGGGGCCCCCUUGCUGCUCGCCGCUCGGGUAAAAACAAUCCAGAAACUGUCUACCCACUCCCAAGGUACCACCUGGAGAGAUCAGGGGGUCUCCUGGUACAUAGAAAAGAAAUGCAGUGUUUUGAGGUCAAUUCUGAAAGCAAUUUGCAGCACCCUGGCAUCGAGGAAGACAUCUCGUGGCAUGGACAUGUUCUAGAAAAAUAUAAAAGCGUCUUCAGACUGCAA